rnacentral:lncRNA from 1 species
GGAACUACAACUCCCAGCAUGCCCCUCUGCGGUGGGCGGGGCCGGAGCCUGCGGGGACUGAGCAUGUGCGGGGGCGCGAGCCGGGGCCGGGCUGCAGGCGCGCGGCCACGGACUUGCAGGAGAAGUUGCAAGGCUGCACCGGGCACGGCUCGGGCUCGCUCGCUCGCUCCCUUUCUCUCCUUCUCUCCCUCUUUUGCUCUCUGGUGCAAGAGGAGGAGCCGCGGCACCGGCCGAGCAGCUGCACUAACGGCGGCGAGAGAGACCCUGCCGUGUCCCGCCAUGUGCCCGAGACCGGGUGCCGCCCGCCCACCUCCACUGCCCAGGCCCGGGCCCCUGCCCCCGUCCACGCACU